rnacentral:rRNA from 1 species
UACGUAGGGUGCAAGCGUUAAUCGGAAUUACUGGGCGUAAAGCGUGCGCAGGCGGUUUGGAAAGAAAGAUGUGAAAUCCCAGAGCUUAACUUUGGAACUGCAUUUUUAACUGCCAAGCUAGAGUAUGUCAGAGGGGGGUAGAAUUCCACGUGUAGCAGUGAAAUGCGUAGAGAUGUGGAGGAAUACCGAUGGCGAAGGCAGCCCCCUGGGAUAAUACUGACGCUCAUGCACGAAAGCGUGGGGAGCAAACAGGAUUAGAUACCCUGGUAGUCCACGCCCUAAACGAUGUCAACUAGCUGUUGGGGCCUUCGGGCCUUAGUAGCGCAGCUAACGCGUGAAGUUGACCGCCUGGGGAGUACGGUCGCAAGAUUAAA